GAUGAAGAACGUAGCGAAAUGCGAUACUUAGUGUGAAUUGCAGAAUCCCGUGAAUCAUCGAGUUUUUGAACGCAAUUUGCGCCCGAGGCCUCGGUUGAGGGCACGUCUGUCUGGGCGUCGCAU
rnacentral:rRNA from 1 species